rnacentral:tRNA from 1 species
GGAUUGGUGGUUCAGUGGUAAAAUUCUCCUCUUUCACAAGAGAGACCCGGAUUCAAUUCCUGGCCAAGGCA